UACGAAGGGGGCUAGCGUUGCUCGGAAUCACUGGGCGUAAAGCGCACGUAGGCGGCUUUUUAAGUCAGAGGUGAAAUCCUGGAGCUCAACUCCAGAACUGCCUUUGAUACUGGAGAGCUUGAGUCCGGGAGAGGUGAGUGGAACUGCGAGUGCAGAGGUGAAAUUCGUAGAUAUUCGCAAGAACACCAGUGGCGAAGGCGGCUCACUGGCCCGGUACUGACGCUGAGGUGCGAAAGCGUGGGGAGCAAACAGG
rnacentral:rRNA from 1 species